rnacentral:rRNA from 1 species
GAUGAACGCUGGCGGCGUGCCUAAUACAUGCAAGUCGAGCGAACGGACGAGAAGCUUGCUUCUCUGAUGUUAGCGGCGGACGGGUGAGUAACACGUGGAUAACCUACCUAUAAGACUGGGAUAACUUCGGGAAACCGUAGCUAAUACCGGAUAAUAUUUUGAACCGCAUGGUUCAAAAGUGAAAGACGGUCUUGCUGUCACUUAUAGAUGGAUCCGCGCUGCAUUAGCUAGUUGGUAAGGUAACGGCUUACCAAGGCAACGAUGCAUAGCCGACCUGAGAGGGUGAUAGCCCGCAGGGGAACUGAGCCAGGGCCCAGCCUCCGAGGGGGGGACGAAGGGGGGAUUUUUCCGCAAGGGGCAAAGCCCGGAGGGAGCACCGCGGGGGGAGUAAUAAAGGUCUCGGAAUCGAAAACCUUUUUUAUGGGGAAAAAAAAUAUGGGAAGGAACCUGUGCCCUUUUGGACGUUCCAUAACCAAAAGACCCCGGCAACCUCCGUC